GUCCAUGCCGUAAACGUUGGGCACUAGGUGUGGGGCUCAUUCCACGAGUUCCGUGCCGCAGCAAACGCAUUAAGUGCCCCGCCUGGGGAGUACGGCCGCAAGGCUAAAACUCAAAGAAAUUGACGGGGGCCCGCACAAGCGGCGGAGCAUGCGGAUUAAUUCGAUGCAACGCGAAGAACCUUACCAAGGCUUGACAUACACCGGAAACUUCCAGAGAUGGUUGCCCCGCAAGGUCGGUGUACAGGUGGUGCAUGGUUGUCGU
rnacentral:rRNA from 1 species